rnacentral:rRNA from 1 species
GGGGAAUUGUUCGCAAUGGGCGCAAGCCUGACGACGCAACGCCGCGUGGAGGAUGAAGGUCUUCGGAUUGUAAACUCCUGUUGCCUGGGACGAAUGGCUCCAACCUAAUACGUUGGAGUGUGACGGUACCAGGUGAGGAAGCCCCGGCUAACUCUGUGCCAGCAGCCGCGGUAAUACGAAGGGGGCUAGCGUUGCUCGGAAUUACUGGGCGUAAAGGGCGCGUAGGCGGACAGUUUAGUCAGAGGUUAAAGCCCAGGGCUCAACCUUGGAAUCGCCUUUGAUACUGGCUGUCUUGAGUGCGGGAGAGGUGUGUGGAACUCCGAGUGUAGAGGUGAAAUUCGUAGAUAUUCGGAAGAACACCAGUGGCGAAGGCGACACACUGGCCCGUUACCGACGCUGAGGCGCGAAAGCGUGGGGAGCAAAC